AUUGAACCCUGGCGGCAUGCUUUACACAUGCAAGUCGAACGGCAGCGCCUGCUUCGGCCUGUCCUCGAGUGGCGAACGGGUGAGUAAUACAUCGGUACGUUCCCCGUAGUGUGGGAUUGCCCUGCGAAAGCCGGAUUUAUUCCCCAUACGACCCUCGUGUGGCAUCGGGGGACCUGAAAGCUUCCCGCUAUUGGAGCUGCCGAUGUGGGAUUUCCUCGUUUGGGGGGUAAAGGCUUUCCAAGGCGACGGUCCGUAGCUGGGCUGAGAGGGCGACCAGGCACACUGGGACUGAGACACGGCACAGACACCGACGGGAGGCAGAAGUGGGGAAUGUUGGAAAAAGGGGGCAACACUGAACCAGCCAUGCCGCGUGCGGGAAGAAGGCCUGCGGGUUGUAAACCGCUUUUGUUGGGGAAGAAAGCCUCUGGGCUAAUAGCCCGGGGGGAUGACGGUACCGGAAGAAGAAGCACCGGCUAACUACGUG
rnacentral:rRNA from 1 species